rnacentral:rRNA from 1 species
GUGUGACUGCGUACCUUUUGUAUAAUGGGUCAGCGACUUAUAUUCUGUAGCAAGGUUAACCGUAUAGGGGAGCCGGAGGGAAACCGAGUCUUAAUUGGGCGUUAAGUUGCAGGGUAUAGACCCGAAACCCGGUGAUCUAGCCAUGGGCAGGUUGAAGGUUGGGUAACACUAACUGGAGGACCGAACCGACUAAUGUUGAAAAAUUAGCGGAUGACCUGUGGCU